rnacentral:rRNA from 1 species
GGGCUUCGGCCCUGAGUAAAGCGGCGCACGGGUGAGUAACACGUGGGUAAUCUGCCCUAGAGUGGGGAAUAACACCGGGAAACCGGUGCUAAUACCGCAUACGAUCGCGAUGUCUUCGGAUGUUGCGAUGAAAGGAGCAAUUCGCUCUUGGAGGAGCCCGCGGCUGAUUAGCUAGUUGGUGAGGUAAUGGCUCACCAAGGCUACGAUCAGUAUCCGGUCUGAGAGGACGGUCGGACACACUGGAACUGAGACACGGUCCAGACUCCUACGGGAGGCAGCAGUGGGGAAUUUUUGGCAAUGGGGGCAACCCUGACCAAGCAACGCCGCGUGGGUGAUGAAGUCUCUUGGGACGUAAAACCCUUUCGACGGGGAAGAAAACCGCAAGGUUUGACGGUACCCGUAGAAGAAGCCCCGGCUAACUCCGUGCCAGCAGCCGCGGUAAUACGGGGGGGGCAAGCGUUGUUCGGAAUUACUGGGCGUAAAGGGCGCGUAGGCGGUUUGCUAAGUUGGAUGUGAAAACUCUGGGCUCAACCCAGAGCCUGCAUCCAAAACUGGCAGGCUAGAGUUCUGGAGGGGGUAGCGGAAUUCCUGGUGUAGCAGUGAAAUGCGUAGAUAUCAGGAGGAACACCGGUGGCGAAGGCGGCUACCUGGACAGAAACUGACGCUGAGGCGCGAAAGCUAGGGGAGCAAACAGGAUUAGAUACCCUGGUAGUCCUAGCCCUAAACGAUGGAUACUUGCUGUGACUGGGAUUGAAUCCAGUCGUGGCGAAGCUAACGCAUUAAGUAU